ensembl:lncRNA
CACACACACACACACACACACACACACACUCACUCACACUCACUCACAUGUGCCUUGUAAAUCAGCAGACAUUAAAAAAGCCUGUGUGUGUGGUUGAUUUGAACAAGGUCUUGGUUGGUGUUGGUGAUGGCAGAAGUAUGAGAUGGACCAGCAAAGAGAGUGUCGAGACGGGCCCCGGUCGGCAUGGGAACAGACGAGUCCCUGGGUCACAGCCCCCGUCAGGUCUGUCAUCGAGCGCCGGAGGGGGGCCCCUGUGUGCUUUGAUUUGCCUCAUUAGUCCCGGCUCUUUAUGAUGCGUGCAUCUGCCGUGAUUUAUUUAGCGGCCGAGAGGCAGCCAUAAAAGAUGAGUGACGCGCGCGUGAGAAGGCGGCUGUUAGCCGACAGCUGAGUGACGCGCGCGUGAGAAGGCGGCUGUUAGCCGAUAGCUGAGUGACGCGCUCGUGAGAAGGCUGUUAGCAGAUAGCUGCUCACCAGAAGCCCCUCCACUCUGUUUUUUUUUUUUUAAACUAAAUCAUCUUUUCUAAAUAAUAUGCUCUUAAGUGGACGGCUGCACAGACAAGCGAACAGCGCUGGCCUCAAGCUGUUCUGUUUCGAGUGCAAUGGAGCUGAAGAGAACAGGACAAGAAAGAGAGAGAACGAGAGAAAGAGAGAGAGAGAGAGAGAGGGAGAGAGAGAGAACGAGAGAGGGAGAGAAAGAGAGAGAACGAUAGAGGGAGAGAGAGAGGACGAGACGGGGAGAGAAAGAGAGAGAAUGAUAGAGGGAGAGAAAGAGAGAACGAGAGAGGGAUAGAAAGAGAGGAUGAGAUAGGGAGAGAGAGAGAGAGAGAGAGAGAGAGAGAGGGAGAGAAAGAGAGGAUGAGAUAGGGAGAGAAAGAGAGAGAACGAUAGAGGGAGAGAGAGAGGACG